CUAGUUCUGGUUUUUUUGUGUGUCUUGUGACUCCAUAUUUAUGGUGCAAACUCCAUGCUUUCAGGGGUUUCAGGCUUAACUGAACCGAAGUUCAAAAGGCCUCAUUCCUAAGCCACUCCUAAGCUGUCCUUCUGCGCCUCUGCUUCAUCACUCAUCCCUCGAGGCAGUAAAUGCUGCAAAACCGUGAGGGAAGCUGAAUAAAGAAGGGCAGGAGACCUCAGACAUAAACACAGGGGGAAAAAAGGAUACAAUUUCUUGAAAUAUUUUCUCUCUCUUUUUUUUUUUUUGAUGGGUACCAGGAGCCAAACGCAGGACUUCGAACUUUCCAAGCAGGUGCUGUACCAUUGAGCUAUAUCCCUGGCUCUCAAAAUAUUUUCUUAUUGCAAUUUCAUUUAAUUCUCAAUGAUCGCCCCAUGAUAUAGGUGCUAUAAAUAAAGAGAUGACACUAAGCUCCUUUCUGAUGAUACUUUACCAGGGCUUUUUUUUUUUUUCUUUUUUCUUUUUUAAUUUUUUGGUAUUGAGGAUUGAAUUCAAGUUCUAGCAAAAAAUUACAAUCAGGGCUAAAGACAUGCACUCUUAUUUCACUUAAAGGACAACACAAAAUCACGGAGAUGAAAUCUUGUCGAAUGGAGACAAGUCUUAAUCAAAGGCACACUUGAAAUUUACAAGUAAGCCUAUUAUUUGGAAAUGAAUAAAGCAAAAGAUUUGAGAACUAGCCUCUUAAUUAACUUAAACUCCCUCUUGGAACCUCUUCUAAUAAUUAGCUUAUCAAAAAAAUCCUUUUGCUUACCUACAGCGUGAAUGUCAAGUUUGCUUAAGCAUUCAAUAAUAUUGAUUGAGGCCCUUCUGUAGCCCCUGUCUAAAGAGUAAUUAGGUUUCAAACUUUCCAAUUGGUAGCACUCACGUUUGAGCUGUGCUCUUCCUACAAUUUGAGAAUGCUUUUCUAAACUAGCCAGAGAGGAGUUUUAUUCAGUGGACGCUUGCUGGGUGUUGGCUGGGUCACAGCACUGAUGGGAGGCUCUGGCCUGGAGAGGAGAUCUAGGAGCCUCUUGGGAGAGAGAAAAGAGGGGGGAAGCCAGGAAAGAGGUGCUCACUGAGAAAAAGUCUAAAGGAGAAGGUAUUAAGUAUUUGAGGUGUGAAUGAAAGCUGUGUUGGGGACGAAAACCAAAACUUUUGUCUCCCUUCUUAGAUAGUGACUGCAAAUGAACUGAUAGGUUAACAGGAGAAAAAGUGCUUGGUUGCCACAGAUAGACAUGAAUGCCCAGAAAUGGCUGAAAAGUACGUGUGCGCCAGACACAGAGACUACUACAUGAUUUUACCAAGGACGGUGUAUUCGUGGAGAAGGAAAAAUGUGAGCUUCUGGGGGCCCUGCCUUACAAGAAGUUAGAUGUGUGGGUGAGGAAACUGCUCAGAGGUUUAUUGAUUUAAAUUUUGUGCCCCUGGAAUAGAACGCAGGUCUCUCCCAUGUUAGGCAAAUGCUCUGCCACCAGGCUACACCGUCGGUCUGGAAGGGUUGCGGGACUUAGAUGUGUGCAGGCCCACUUUGGUGUUGGCUUUUUGUUGGGAGCCACAGCCCCGAGCCCGGUCGCCUCACUUGGCGGACGUGCGGCCUGUGGUAAAGAGCAAAGCCUGAGGUAGAUUACCCCUCCCAUCGAAUAUGUUAGUUUCCUGCUUACCGCGUAAACAACCCGCUCAACAAUAUAGUCUGCCUGGCAACUGAUGAUGUUAGCCAAUCAGCUUGCCUUGCUUACUUUAACAUGAUUGGACACUGUACCCGUAUAUAUACCGGUGCCAUCCCUGGGCGGAAGAAGAAGCCAGAUAGAAGCCCGGAAGUAGAAGCCCAAAAGGAGCCGCGGGGAGCAGACCAAAGGAGGCUUCAGCUGGGAGAACCCAGGGCAGGCUGUACGGAGAAGGAAAAUAAAAAGAAAAGGUUGUCCACUACCAGACUUUGUCGUGUGUCCUUCCUGCCGGCCGGGAGCGGACAUCGACAUUUGGAGGCCCGCCCGGGGACUGAUCACCCCCGCGACGUGGAAGUGGACAACGCUCCAGUACAGAGCUGCGAGACAGGAAUCGGGACGAGAACCACUGUGGAUACCGGAGAGACUGACACGGACAACAAAGCCCUCGACUGAAGAUCAGACCUGCCCUACUGGAGAUCCAUCACAGACCAACCAACAAGAUGAAUAGAAAUAGCGGUAGCCCGAAAUGGACAAGAAGAUCCUCAGGCAUAUGCAUGGCUCGCUCGCCUAGCCUACGACCGAGUCUAGGGACGGUGAGCUUCCCACACUCCUCCUCUAAAAAAUUAUGAUAUAGCAGGGUAGAUGAGUCAAUGACGGGUAAGAGCGUGCCUCCCCAGCACGACUCGACCUAAGCCAGGCCCUACCCCAUCCUGCACGUAAGCCGCUGGACUGUUAGAUGCUGCCCAGGUCUAAAUUUCUCUCCGAGGGGAUUUCUUUACGGAGAGGAAAUGAGUGCAAGCUUGUGUGCAUCCAGGUUCCGUCCAGUUUGUGCCUGGCCCUAGAAAAA